rnacentral:lncRNA from 7 species
AAGGACAUUUGACUGCUACUGUGCUACAUCAGACAGCUCUUUGAGUCUAUCACUGCGAGAUGCUUCCUUUGCACCUCGGACUACUUCUGUGGCUCUUUACAAGGACAACGUUCAUAUCAGAAUUCCAUGCAGUGCUGACUCCCGUCCUGGCUUUGCAUAAGGGUGGAAAUACCCUUCCUGGUGCUAUGUGCUGCCUUAGAGGACAGCAGGGGACCUCCAGCCAAACCCCCAUGUGACGGCCUGUUUUGAAGCAUUAUCCAGCAUGACCCCUCUGGCCUUCUCAAGGUCCUUUCCAGGAUUUUGCACUCCUGAUUCCCAUGUAAGGUUGCAUUCUACUGACUUCUCUAUGCCGUGGAGCAAGCUCAUUGUCCCUGACCAUGGAUAUAUUAGUAUGGGUGGAGUGCAUUGUACUCCGAUGAUACUUCUAUGCUAGCAAAUGCCUUUUUAAUACCAAUACAGCAACUACACUUUAAAUUACCGGGGCUGUGCCAUUCUGAUCAUCAGAGGAUGUGAAUGUGGCCUGGAAGAUGACUCCGUGGUUCUUCACCUAAAACUACUUUGGUAUGUGUAAGCCACCCGAAUUUAGAAUGGGAAGAUUGGUGAGUUUCCAAGGGAAGCCAUUUCUCCUACAGUUGUACAAAAUAAGUAAAACACAUCCAUAUAUUUCUUCAAGCUCCACCCUCAGCCAUCCCAGAGUCGCAGAGCUCAGUUGUACUCCAGCAGAACGUCCCAUUUCGUACCAGAUAAGCACCUGACCCACAACAAACCUGAGAAAUUUGCAUUAACAGUAUCUUUCAAAGAUGGAUUACAUUACUGGGGACCAAAGGUGAACUACAUGCAAGCACAUACAUGUCAACACCAGUACACGAAACGGCUGCUGUUCCCGAAGCCACUGAGCAGCCAUGCUUGGAGCCUAUGAGAAUGUAAAACCCAGGACUUGAAAUGCAGCAGUCAGUGCUGGAAGAGCAGUGGAACCAGAAGGGUCUGCUCCUGUGUCCUGCUGCUGUGCUGGGUCCCAUGUGGGACCACACCGCUCUUCCCAUCAGCUGUCAGCCCAGCUCCUUUCACCUGAUCCAGCCAUAAAAUUUUUAU